rnacentral:rRNA from 1 species
AGUGAACGCUGGCGGUAGGCCUAACACAUGCAAGUCGAACGGCAGCACAGUAAGAGCUUGCUCUUACGGGUGGCGAGUGGCGGACGGGUGAGGAAUACAUCGGAAUCUACUUUUUCGUGGGGGAUAACGUAGGGAAACUUACGCUAAUACCGCAUACGACCUACGGGGGAAAGCAGGGGAUCUUCGGACCUUGCGCGAUUGAAUGAGCCGAUGUCGGAGUAGCUAGUUGGCGGGGUAAAGGCCCACCAAGGCGACGAUCCGUAGCUGGUCUGAGAGGGGGAGAGGCGAACAUGGGACUGAGACAGGGACAAGACUCCGACGGGAGGCAGCAGGAGGGAAGGGGAGGCAAUGGGCGAAAGCAUGACGCAGCAAGGGGGAGGGAGUGAAGAAGGAGUUCGGUGUGUAAAGCUCUGUAGGGAGGGAAGAAGGAUUGUGGAGUAAUUAGACGCGGUAGAGACGGUACCUAAAGAAAAAGCAACGGCUAACUACGUG